AACGAACGCUGGCGGCGUGGAUAAGACAUGCAAGUCGAACGGGGCAGGUAGCAAUAUCUGUUCAGUGGCGGACGGGUGCGUAACACGUGAACAAUCUGCCCGGAAGAGGGGGAUAGCCCAGGGAAACUUGGAUUAAUACCCCCAUGUGGUAUAAGAGGGCCUCCUCUUAACACCAAAGGUGCUGUAAGGUGCCGCUUCCGGAUGAGUUCGCGUCCUAUCAGCUAGUUGGUGAGGUAAUGGCUCACCAAGGCAAUGACGGGUAGCUGGUCUGAGAGGAUGACCAGCCACACUGGAACUGAGACACGGUCCAGACACCUACGGGUGGCAGCAGUCGAGAAUCAUUCACAAUGGGCGAAAGCCUGAUGGUGUGACGCCGCGUGGAGGAUGAAGGUCUUCGGAUUGUAAACUCCUGUCAUGUGAGAGUAAAAGCCGGGCGUUAACUGCGAGCCGGUCCGUGAGGAGUAAGUCACAAGA
rnacentral:rRNA from 1 species